UGCUCGGACAUGGACAGCUGCAUUUGCUAAUGUUGGCCAUCAAAUGUUAACUAGGUCAUAAAAAUGUCUGUGGGUUGGCUAUAAUGAAUCUCCCAAUGAGAUGCUAUUUCAGUCCCCUCUCCCAUGACGAUGUUUGCGAGAAGGAUGGCUUCAGAAAGGCUGCAUUUGUGAAAAUGUUUUAGGGUUUCUAGAGCAAAGCAAAGGUGUGAAGCCGGUCAGGCUCUCCUCAGAGGAUUAAGGAAAAUUGUAUCACUUAGGGGCAGAUGAAGACAUUGUGCCUCCAUCUCAAGAGGGAGAUCUCUCUCUGUACAGCCCAAGAGGGGUUUGGAGGGGACGUGGCUGAAAGGGUCAGAAAAGCCAGUGCCAUGCUACAACCUCUUAAGGGAAAAGACUGAAACCAUAUUCAAGUCUGUACUAUUUGUCAGGUGAUUCUUAUUUUUGUGUCAAAGAAUAGGACAGAAAUAAAAGGAGGGAUGCAUUUAUUUUAAAAUCCAAGGGACAAUAUGUUGAAUUUUACAUUUCUAUAGCAACAUACACAUUAGUAAUAUGUGCACAAGGAGCUGAAAAACAAUUAUAGCAAUCUAAUGUUUGAGAUCAAAAGUAAGGCAAAGCAUGUAAUUUGUUCAUUGUUCACUUAUCAGACUCAACAUGAAUAUUUUUGUGUCUGAGACUUAGACUCAGGGGAGUUGCAUCAUGCAAUCACAGGGCUUUGAAAAGAGCCUUUUGCAUUAAAAAAUAAACAAUAACAGCAGCAGCACUCUACUGACAGAUCACAGCUGAACCACAGCAGUUUUAUUUCCAGCAACAGAAGUUGGUUAAGAGAAUUAGUGGCUGAGCCAUCAAACUGUGUAUGAUAAUGAGACGGGUUAUGAAUAAUAUCAUUAAUUCGCAUGUCCUUCUAACACAUGCCACUCCAGUUAAUGUACAAAUCCCAAAUCUCUCAAUGCAAAAUACACUGACCUCCUCAUAAAAAUAUCUAAUGGUAUGAAGUCUGGUUCACGUGUAUCUGCUGGCUAGUGCUCCAGAUCAGAAAUAAUUACAAGGAAGCAUUUCUGCUCUUGAGUUAAGAGGCAGAAGUAUUUCUGUCAUAAGAAAGUAAGACUUUCCUCAUGUUUCGUGUUGCCUUUGCCAAGAGUUAAGGUGUGUUAUGGGGCAGAGCAUCCCCCUGUGCCCUGCAAGGAGAGGCUGCCCUGGCACCGGAGCUGAGGCACUCCAACAUCCUCCAAAAGCUCUGUCUGUCUCACAGCACUCCUUGACAUAUUGCUGCCAGGCUCUUAAAGCUAAAUCUACUUUCUUGAUCCCUCUGCUUACUCCACUAGAGGCAACUUUUCUGCCAGGGAAGGGUCACUCCUCAUGGCAGCUGGCAUUUGUCUCUGUCAAAGCCUCAGCUGGGUUCCCAGGGCAGCUGAACAGAGGGAUUUCCUGCAGGCUGACCCCCACCCCUUGUAGGCAACCCCAUGUUUGUCACUUGUUGGAAGAAACACUCGUUAUGAGGAGAAGAGGUGAUGUGCUCGCUGUACUCGGGGCUAUACAGAAGGGCUUCAGCAUCUCAGUGUGCAUCAUUGCUAGUGAACAGCCUUAUAUCAAAAGGAAUGGCAGAAGCAACUGUUUUAUUUUUUUUCUUUUUUCACCAUUUUUCUAAUAGGCUUCUGGAGAAGUGACUGUACUUCUGGAAAUCACCUGGAGAGAGCAGUUACCUUCAACAUGGUCCAGCAUUUCCAGCAAAAGGCAUCCUGGCUCACCAGGGCGUGGCAGGAUGUCGGUGCUGUGGACCUGUACGGCCGGUGUAGCAACUGAAGGAAACCGCUAUCGCAACCCCCAGACUUGUGUUUUGUUCUUCGUCAGCAUCACAUGCAGCUUGAGUAAUAUUUCUCCCGUUUCCAUAUUAAUGGAGAGAACAUGCUGGGUGUUUUCAACAGACAGGCAAACUACCUCUCUGCAAUAUUAUGGCUUUUGUCCAUGAUGGUUUCCAUGGUGUUCAUGUCCUCUUUCCCAGUCUCAGAGUUCGCACAAUUUCAUUAUCACCAAAUACAGUACUUAAAUUGCCCGUAUUAGUAACAAAUUAAACCCAGUGCUUAUAUUUUUUUCUGAAUAAUCUAACAAGGAUGCUUCUGCUUUGGGGAGGGGACUUUAGCUAUAAAAGCAAUAUUUAUAAUGUACCUAUAUAAACUGUAAUCAACAGGAGUGCCUUGCCAGGAGAGUAAAGGUCUUCUCUGCCCUGCACAGCUGGAGUCCAACUUCAUGAUAGGAAAGGAGACACUGGUUUAAGUGCAGGAAGCAUUGAGUCAGUGGUCAUUUCAUCAAGGGAUUUGGGUCAUCUUUAGUUAAACCUCUCCUUUCCUACUCCUGACCCAUCCACCAGCUGAUCUGAUCCCACUGCAGCUGCACUGGGCGUAGUGCAGCAGACAGGGUGGGAUGACCUGUGGUGUGGGGAUGGUGCGUCUCCACUGACCACCUAUGUCACAGACGUACCGCACAGUUUUGGUUGGUUGGUUUGCGUUGCUUUGUGUUUGUUUGUUUGUUUUUAUCAAUGACCUUGCUGAUUUUUAAUGUGAAAUAUUCACAAGAUUUAGAGCUAAGGUGGAGCUCUGGAUUUGUGCUGUGUGUCCCUCUUGUGUGCCAGCUGUACUGUUGGAUUCAGAUGUGGUUUGGAAAACCCCUUUCAGAAUGGACUCAAAUUAGCCUGGCUAUUGUUUGAAAGAGCUAUUUAAAAUGCAUGCAUAUGGAUGGGAGCGAUAGUAUGAUCAACAGUAAGACAGUAAGUGGGAUGAGCGUGUGGCCUCCAGCUCAUUUAUGUUUGGGGGAUUCCAUUCCUCAAGGGAUCUUCCUGGAGGUUAAGCCAUGAAACCAGAACAACCUGAAAGAUUUGCAAGGAUUGAGAUUGCUGCUUUCUUUCCAAUGACGCACUGAACUCUGCAUCCCCCCUGACAGAGACCCCAGGCUGUUCCUGUACUGCCCAGCAUGGCCAGUCUUAAGCCCUCCUACACUAAGAGAUUAUAGCUUUAGAGAGUAGUUGUGGCAAAAUAUAAUCCUGCACUCACCAGGUCACUGAAUCACAUCAGCAUUUGCUUGAGCAGAGUUAGAAGGGUCAAACCUGUGUUGGAAAAUGUCCCUCUCUGGGGUUGGUAGGGGGUAAUACUGCUCGGAAGCUGCUUGCCCAGCCCAAAUGCCCUGAAAUCAUCAUACUGAAUUACAAAUCAUGAGAUUUAGAAAGGAAUAUGGCUGGUGUUUCGGUUUGGUUCUUUAUUUUUUUUCCUUCUAGGGUUUGAGUUUUCAGAGUGCACAUAUUCAGGCUUUAUUCUGAGCUUUCCUGGGAAGCAAAGAAGGCGCUGCCAUCCCACUGUAAUCUCCUGUCUCUAGGAGCUGCAUCUCCACAGACACCAGGUAUCAGAAGAGCCAACAAAAUCCUGGGGAUUCAGAUCUGGCUUAUCUGGCUGUGGUGGGUAAUGUGUUUGCUGUAGUGACAGGGAACUGUCACUGAUGGUGUGCAAGAAAAUUCUGUGUGUUUGACAAUGCACGUAUUCAGAAAAAGGAAGCUAGAAAUCCGUGGCAGAAAUGUGGAGAAGAGGGGUCCAAAUGGCCUCUUUUGUCACCUCCUGGACUAAGGGAUACUUGGGGCAAACAGAGCAGAAAGGAAGCUGAACUGUGACUUCGGGUUGAAGAGCUAAAAUUCACCCCAAAAUGACUCCUCUGAAAUCAGCCCAAAGUUGCAAAGAGCCAAUGCCUAUGAAACUUUUGCAGUUACCUCAUUAUUUAAAAUUAUUCCCUUUUGAAUCUGUGCUAAAAUGAUCUGGUUUUGUAAUACAGUGCUCCUGGCUAGCGAGUGCUGGCUUGCUACAUCUGUACCGGUGUUUCUUCUUUGGUUUCUGCAAAGCCAAGUUGAAGAUGGGUCUGUGCAUCGGGCUGGGGACUAAUGCCAGAACAACUGAUUUAAUUCCUGGUCUGACCUCAGUAGUUCCUUCAUGGAUUAGGUAAGACAUUGGCCUUUUUGAUCUUUAUAACCUGGUCCUGAUGACAGUGGAUCCUGCCUUCAUGACAACUGCUGGCCUGCUGUCAUCCUCUGCUCUUGCUGCAAGAGCUGCCCGUCCUGGAAGGGGCAUAAAAUACGUAUAACUUUUUGUGGAAGAAAUUAAAAGUGGCUUUUUUAUAUUGGGAGAUGUUACACACCAACUGGCUUAUAAAUAUAACUUUAAUGCCUAAAAAAAUGGUGAUAAUCACUUUUAUACCUGCUUAAUGGCAUAAUUUUAAAGUGAAUUACUGACAUCAUAUAUUACUUUCUUCCCCUACAGUAAAUGGUCUCUCCCUGCUGUGUUUUAUUACUUAUUGUAAAUUCAUUCAAGCAGUAUAUUUUGCUUUCAGCAAGGUACCCUCAGUUACUUUUUCUGUCCAGGAUAAAUUGAGAUAAAUUUUGCCUGUGCCUGGAUUUUGCUCAUGGCAUCCAUCUUUGCCUGUGAAAAGUUACAGCUGGAGUCAAACAAGACUUGAGAAAUAGUAAUAUCAUACUGCAGAAAGUUACAGAUCACCAGUCUGCAGUCAAACUGUGUACAGAGGGCUCACUGAACCAGCCAGGAGUUUAAUAGGAAGUGAAAAACAUAAAGAAAUGUGAUGCAUUCGCUAAUGUUUAUCCUGAUAAAGUAAUAAGUACUUUACAAGAAAAUAACACUGGUUAUUUACCAUGCCAUCAUAAGAUUCUACAGUAGCAUAUCACCCCAAGCACCGCUGUUCAUCACUAUUUACUAUUUUUGCCCUUGGACAUCUAAUAGAUUUAUUGCCUGAGCUAUAGAAAUGUGAUUUGGGGGGGAGGGAAGAUGGAGACAGGGAGACUUCAAAUAACAGAGUCCUCCUUCCCUUUGCUGACAAUUCUAUGCUCCAAAGACUUAGUAAAUCUCAUAGCUGCGAUCACUGUGCUGUCAAAUCAAAUAAAAGCCAUAAGGCUGGUGCCAAUCUGCUUCCUGCAGGAAUUGUGCAGCCCCUGUGAAAACCAUUUGAUUGAAGACUGGUUUCAUAGCCGUGGGAGUAAAAGGUGACCCCAGGGUAGGUCAAGCUUUGUGGUGGCUUCGGGGAGAUGUGCCCAUGGCAAUGAAAUCUCCACAUUUGCAUGCUUUUUAGGUCCUACUAGGUCUCCCUAGAUGCAACAAUUGUAUGAGUCCGUCUAGCCCUUGGUUCAAAACUUAUCCUUGGGGGUACUUCUGGGCAUUGCUGGAAAUCCCAUUCAAACCUGACCGUGUCCCAAAACAGGCUGCGUGCUAGAGCCUGUUGUAUUUCCAGUUCCCUCUGUGAGGGGUCACAAUAGGUAUCGCUCUGCAAAUUUCCCUUAUUUUGUUGCAGAACUGACGGAAGGACAGGUCUGUAUGUUAGAGGGGACCAGAGCACGUGUGGAAGGAGAUUCCUGAGCUCUGAUGGGCUGUCUGUUGGCUAACAACCGUAAAACCUCUGAAGUUUAUUCUGUCCACAUACGCUGAUGAGAAGAGAGAAGUGCUUCCUCUGGAGGUUUUAGCAUUCUGGAGGUCAGCGACACAGUCAGAUCAGUUUCCACACCACCUGCCUUCAGGAGCCCCUCACCAUGAGAAGGCAGUGAGGGCUGCAGAGUGAGCCCAGAGACACCUGUGAUGGCCUGGAUGCAGCCCUGCCUGUGACCCUUGACAGCCUGCAGUUAUCCAGUGUGCAUCUAGUGCUGCUGAUAAAAAAUGAUGGCGUUUAACAGUGGCAGCAAAAGGAGCUACUGAGAAUAAGGCAUGUUCACAGCAGAAGUGAAUUUUCUUUGAAUUACAAGAGAAGUUCCUUUUCUGCAGCAUUAAGCCUCUCACCAGCAGCUCAAAAUGCGGACCACUGGUGAUGUUUUUCUGUGCAGACAGAUAUAUUCCAGCAUUCAUCACUGCUGAUGAAUCUUUUCACAAUGAUCUUGUUCCCUGCGGAGUCAGCGAGCCCCACGCACUGCCAGUGCUAUGAGUGUCCGACAGGAAAAUCUGAUUUGCAUUUCCACCAUUAAGCUUCUAUAUCCAGCUCUGAAAAUUAUGCUGGGUGACAUUAGGCAGCCAGGCUCCAUGAAACAGCGUAGACAAGACUGUCAUAUCACUGCCUUGGCAGAAUUAUCUGCUCUGACACCAAGGAAACCGCUGUAAGGGUAAAACAAGCCCUGACCAAGCCAGGGACAUGCAUGAGUGUGAAACACCAGUGCUGUCAACACAAGACCUGGGGACAUCUGAGUGUACCCCAUAUGAGACACCACUGCCCGGGGACUUGGAGAGCACCAUGCUUCUCCAAGCAAAGUCAAAGCUCCAUCAUGCAAUCUUUGUGCACGAACUGCAACUGCAUGCAGCAAACCCCCCAAACCCUGGUGAUGUGGUCUCCCUUGCGGAAGGUAUCUUGGGUGCUGGUAGCAACCAUGCCUGUGUUGGGCUGUGGUGCAGACACCAGGGAGGCUGCAAAGGGCCUUGGCAGUAGAUCCAGCUCGGUCAACCUUAUGUGCUCUUAGCAAAAAACCACAUGCAUCUUUAACAGCUCUAUGUCCAACUUUUCUUACAACAAAGUGAGGUCUUCUGGCUGCCAUUAUCAGAGGUAUUUUCUGUACAGCUCAGUAUUGAACUUUUAAGAAAGUAACCAAAACCCAUUAAUCACUAGCAUAUUUCUUACUACUGUAUUGGCCAAGGAUUACUUCAAUACUUAUUUUAAUGGAUAGCUCAGCUAUGAACGAUUUUAAGGUUAGAGGUCUUGCAAGACUCUUCUUAUAAGCUUUCUGAAAUCUAAUCCAUCACUAAUUUCCAUAUGUCUUGUGCAGCACUAGGCUAAUGUAAUGCAUCACCACAUAAAUCCCUCUCUGAUAAAAUUAUCCUGGGUAUUACAAAAAUUCAAAGCAUUGUUCUUAACUACGUGUGCCUUUUUCAGAUGUCUCACUAGUUGAGAAGUAAGCCUAAUGUGUUCAAGAGGCUUUUUCCCUUAAUGAUAGAUGGAAAAGGAAGUUUAAGAUGACACCUAGCAGCUUAGAUUUUCCAUGUCAGCAAAUGUCACAGACAGAAGUGGCUUUUUUUUUUUUAAUGACAGCUCUUCACAGAGAAUAACUAACGUUCUAUUCUUCUGUCCCCAGACUGAAUUUUUAGCUCUAGUUCAAGUAUUUUUCAUCCAAUAAGCCAACCCGCUUACUCUAGCACCAUGUAAAACACUGAUGCGACUUCUUUGCACCUUCAUCAUUGAUUUCCCUGGAGAAUUUCAGUAUUCUCUUCUACCCAGGAUGUACAACCACCAGUAUAAGCAUCAACAGUACUCUGCUUCUGGUCAUUGCCUUGUUGGUUAUCCAGCUGUGACCUCUCACAGAGGAGAGGGGGAAUAGCGUUAUCCAACUAAUUCUGGUACACACAAAUGUACAUUUAGCUAAGAUUAGGCAGCUGUUUGUUUUCUCUGUCUUUGAGCCAUUAAGAAAUUUCCUGUAAAUGGUGGGAGAAGGGCAACACGAGAAGCCAGGCCAGGUGUGCCAGGGUUCAUGUUAUGGGGAAAGUCUGCAUCCAGAUGGAGAGUCUGAGAGAAGAAGGAGUAAAACCUAUUUUUUUUCAAGAAGUGUAAUGAAAGCAUGGAGACAUAAGCCUAGUAGUUCUUAACAGAGUCAAUGCAACAUCUGAAAGAGUAUAGAAGAGGAGAUAAACAAACUAGAAAAGAAGCUUUGUCAAUACAUUGGCAAAAAAAAUAUGGGGAAGGAAAAGGUCUCAUGUGAAGUCAUAUGCAAUGAUUGUGGCAAGAGAAAUCAUGAUAUCAAAGUCUGCAGACA